AUCUGGGUAGCACAUGGAUCAAAAUGGCAGUCGGUCGGGCUCAUAACCCGAAGGCCGUAGGUUCAAAUCCUGCCCCCGCUACCA
rnacentral:tRNA from 1 species